AUCGCUUCUCAGCCUUUGGGCUAAGAUCAAGUGUAGUAUCUGUUCUUAUCAGUUUAAAAUAGGGGGGAAUUCUCCUUCUGGUAUUCCCAUUUGGCAUAUUUAGAUCUUUUGUAAGAGCACCAUAA
ensembl:snRNA U2 U2 spliceosomal RNA